GACGCGGCGUCGUUAUGGUUAGCGCGUUGGACUCCGGAUCAAGCGGUCCGGGUUCGGGCCCUGGCCGCGAGUCA